GAAUCGAAAGCUAAUAAUAAGCAUUGGUCUUGUAAACCAAAGAUAGAGACUACUCUCUCAAUUCU
rnacentral:tRNA from 1 species